rnacentral:rRNA from 1 species
AGUCGAACGUGAAAGCACUUCGGUGUGAGUAGAGUGGCGGACGGGUGAGUAACGCGUGGGAAUCUACCCAGUAGUGGGGGACAACUACCGGAAACGGUAGCUAAUACCGCAUACGCCCUAUGGGGGAAAGGCUUCGGCCGCUAUUGGAUGAGCCCGCGUCAGAUUAGCUAGUUGGUAGGGUAAAGGCCUACCAAGGCAACGAUCUGUAGCUGGUCUGAGAGGACGAACAGCCACACUGGGACUGAGACACGGCCCAGACUCCUACGGGAGGCAGCAGUGGGGAAUAUUGGACAAUGGGCGAAAGCCUGAUCCAGCAAUGCCGCGUGUGUGAAGAAGGCCUGCGGGUUGUAAAGCACUUUCAGUUGGGAAGAUAAUGACGUUACCAACAGAAGAAGCACCGGCUAAAUCCGUGCCAGCAGCCGCGGUAAUACGGAUGGUGCGAGCGUUAAUCGGAAUUACUGGGCGUAAAGCGCGCGUAGGCGGCUAAGUCAGUCAGAAGUGAAAGCCCCGGGCUCAACCUGGGAAUUGCUUUUGAUACUGCUUAGCUAGAGUUUGGUAGAGGAUAGUGGAAUUCCAGGUGUAGCGGUGAAAUGCGUAGAUAUCUGGAGGAACAUCAGUGGCGAAGGCGACUGUCUGGACCAAAACUGACGCUGAGGUGCGAAAGCGUGGGUAGCAAACAGGAUUAGAUACCCUGGUAGAAGGGC